GAUCCUGGUUCAGAGUGAACGCUGGCGGCAGGCCUAAUACAUGCAAGUCGGACGGCAGCACAGCAGAGCUUGCUCUGUGGGUGGCGAGUGGCGGACGGGUGAGGAAUACAUGGGAAUCUGCCCAGUCGUGGGGGAUAACGUAUGGAAACGUACGCUAAUACCGCAUGCGCCCUACGGGGGAAAGCCGGGGACCUUCGGGCCUGGCGCGAUUGGAUGAGCCCAUGUUCGAUUAGCUAGUUGGGGGGG
rnacentral:rRNA from 1 species